UGGACUUGUUUUUGGUUUUGUUUGAUGGGAUUGCCUAAUAAUUCGGAGGCAGAGUUUCAAAUCCCCAUUUUCAACGUUUUUCACUUUGAUUCCAUUUCCUUUAUUGUUACCAACCGUUAGAUUGCUUUGACUCAUAGCGAUACUCGUUUCCUUCCUUUCCUCCUAUAUAAAACCCCCUCUAGCUUCCCUUUUCCAUCUCAGCUACUUUUCUCUUUCUCUCAUACAAAAAAAAAAAAAAAAAAUCUCUUGUAUAAACGAAGAAACAUUCUUUUUGCCAUCUCUCUUCUUUCUCCACAGAAAGGAAAAGAAGAGAGAAAAAUCCACCAUUCAAAAAAUCUAACCACGAAUAACUUUCUUUACAUUCUCUUUGUAAUUUUUUCAUCAAUGGCACAAAAGGGAUUCAAAGACCUUUUGUUUUUCGAGGUGGCUCCAGCCCCCAUCAUUUUUCCGCAUAAGCCUUCCAAUUCUCCGGGUUUGGAGACAAUAGCCGAAGAAGAAGCUGAAGGAUAUGAUGAGGAUUGAGAAAUUGUUUCUAGGGAGGUUUUUUUGAACUCUGGAUCUUUAGAGGUUUCCAGAAUUUUAACCUGCCUUGGAAUAGUAUGUUUUAUAUUGACUGAUGAAAUGGUUUUUGAUAGAAACAUGAGUUAUGGGGUUGGUUUUCCAUUUUAUCUGGAGCUGCAGAAGAUUGGAGACAUAUAGAAGCUACUAUUUGCAUGUAAUUUUGCAAAGAAGGAAAUUAGUUUACUCAAUGAUUCUUUGAAUUGAGCAAAGAGGUUUCGGUGAUUAUUGAGUUGCAUAUAGAACUCUGUGUUGGUGUUGGUAAAGUAUAUGGGUCUGUCUCUUUCCUUACUCUUAUCCACGUGGAAAGAAAUUCUGAAGCACAAGAUUUACGGUUUAAGAGGCACCUUCGAUGCCGUACGUCCUUAUGACGUCCAUGAGCUUCCAGGGAAAAGAUGGAGAUCGUUUAUCUAAGGGGGCUGUUAAUUUUUCUUCUCCGUCUUGGUGGUGCAAUUUACGGCGCGAUAGGUCCUUUCGGUUCUUUUAAUUUUUUCUGGUGCUCAUUUUCUCUUGGGGCUUUUCCUAUUGGAUUUUUUCGUCCAAGUGUUUCAACGAGGCUAGCGUUUUGUUCAUGCCAUUUUGGGUUAUUUUUUCCUAAAGAAAAAGAUGGAAGGGUGUCUUAGUUAAUGAA